GGGUGAGUAACACGUGGGUAACCUGCCCAAGAGACUGGGAUAACACCUGGAAACAGAUGCUAAUACCGGAUAACAACACUAAACGCAUGUCUAGAGUUUGAAAGAUGGUUCUGCUAUCACUCUUGGAUGGACCUGCGGUGCAUUAGCUAGUUGGUAAGGUAACGGCUUACCAAGGCAAUGAUGCAUAGCCGAGUUGAGAGACUGAUCGGCCACAUUGGGACUGAGACACGGCCCAAACUCCUACGGGAGGCAGCAGUAGGGAAUCUUCCACAAUGGACGAAAGUCUGAUGGAGCAACGCCGCGUGAGUGAAGAAGGGUUUCGGCUCGUAAAGCUCUGUUGGUAGUGAAGAAAGAUAGAGGUAGUAACUGGCCUUUAUUUGACGGUAAUUACUUAGAAAGUCACGGCUAACUACGUGCCAGCAGCCGCGGUAAUACGUAGGUGGCAAGCGUUGUCCGGAUUUAUUGGGCGUAAAGCGAGUGCAGGCGGUUCAAUAAGUCUGAUGUGAAAGCCUUCGGCUCAACCGGAGAAUUGCAUCAGAAACUGUUGAACUUGAGUGCAGAAGAGGAGAGUGGAACUCCAUGUGUAGCGGUGGAAUGCGUAGAUAUAUGGAAGAACACCAGUGGCGAAGGCGGCUCUCUGGUCUGCAACUGACGCUGAGGCUCGAAAGCAUGGGUAGCGAACAGGAUUAGAUACCCUGGUAGUCCAUGCCGUAAACGAUG
rnacentral:rRNA from 1 species